rnacentral:rRNA from 1 species
UACGUAGGGUGCAAGCGUUGUCCGGAAUUAUUGGGCGUAAAGAGCUCGUAGGCGGUUUGUCGCGUCUGCCGUGAAAGUCCGGGGCUCAACUCCGGAUCUGCGGUGGGUACGGGCAGACUAGAGUGAUGUAGGGGAGACUGGAAUUCCUGGUGUAGCGGUGAAAUGCGCAGAUAUCAGGAGGAACACCGGUGGCGAAGGCGGGUCUCUGGGCCGCAACUGACGCUGAGGAGCGAAAGCAUGGGGAGCGAACAGG